rnacentral:tRNA from 1 species
GUCCCCGUAGCUUAACUGGACAGAGCAACUCCCUUCUAAGGAGUAGGUUGUGAGUUCGAGUCUCACCGGGGACA